AGCUUUGCACAGUGGCAGUAUCGUAGCCAAUGAGGUUUAUCCGAGGUGCGAUUAUUGCUAGAGUAUUUAUGCUAGAUUAUGAAUGCUGUAACAAACUGUAGUGACAUACAAUAGAAGAAUGUUUAUACUAUUUAGAGAGAA
rnacentral:snRNA from 1 species